rnacentral:lncRNA from 1 species
CAGACUGUAAAGCUUCUGGUUCAGAAAGGAUUUUGCUUCAGAGGUAGGAAAUGAUUAUGUAAAGAAAAGAAAUGAACAGCUAUAGGUUUGAACAAGCAAUGGUGGGUUUGUGCAGACCAUGCUGAUCUUUGGCAUGAGGGAUGACGAAUAAGUCACAAACAGUGAUACUAAUGCAAGAAUACAAUCCCAAACUGGAUGUUGAAGACCGUCUUUCGCAAGGAGGUGCAAGUUCUACAAAAAUAUGCAGGUGUAAUUGCUCUUGUGAAAUGUGGAAGACCUGCCCCUUGCACCUCACACCCACCAUGUUUUCUACUGCUGUCAAACUGUGAAAAGAGUGCAGAGUUGUGAAGUGCUAUUUGUCUGACUGUGGCCAUCCUACAGUUUCACUCUGUUGGACUUCUGAUUGUUAUGUUCUUUGAUUGAUGAAGCUUUUGGUCGGCAUAAAUCCGGAGUUACUGAUCAAUGAAGACAAAAUAAGCACAAUUUUCUGUUGGGAUUCAAGAUUACCUGCACUAGAAAAAUAAGAUAAAUGUAGCACUUCAUGAAUUGGAAUUAUUAACAUUUGAUUUACUAUUUCUUGAUACAUUUUAGCCUUAUAUGGUAAAUCCAUCAAUUAACCUUCG